CGAACGGGUGAGUAAUGCGUGACCAACCUGCCCCAUGCUCCAGAAUAGCUCUUGGAAACGGGUGGUAAUGCUGGAUGCUCCAACUUGACGCAUGUCUUGUUGGGAAAGUGUUUAGUGGCAUGGGAUGGGGUCGCGUCCUAUCAGCUUGUAGGCGGGGUAAUGGCCCACCUAGGCUUCGACGGGUAGCCGGCCUGAGAGGGCGGACGGCCACAUUGGGACUGAGAUACGGCCCAGACUCCACGGGAGGCAGCAGCC
rnacentral:rRNA from 1 species